UGAGAGUGUGCGCGCGCGCAGCGUUUUGAGAGAGAGAGAGAGAAUUAGAGAAUGUGUAUAAACAGAUGAAGAAAAUUCAUGAUAAUUUUAAAAUAAACUGUAAGUGAAGGACUCUUAUGUACUUUUUUAUUGCCAAAAAAAAGGUAAAUAAAAAGAGUAAUGAUACAGCCACAAACUCUUGUACAAAUUUAUUUUGUACAAAUUGAUGUGGCAUUAAUUCAUUGGUUGAAUGAAAAUAUAAAAUAAUAAAAAUAAAUCAUGUGGGCCAAGUGAUAUUUAAUUCAAUCAAUGUUAUCAUGCCACAUCAGUUUGUACAAAAUAAGUUUGUACAAGAGUUUGUGGCUAUAUCAUUACUCAAAUAAAAAUACACGUGGUUUGACACGAGGUCAGCAACACUGCUUCUCGGUUUUCUGUCGUAUGUUUCCUUUUGAUUCCAAAAGCAAGCCUUGGUUGUAAGCAUCACUCGGGGUUGUAAUGCCAGAUCAGUGCAUUAAAAAAAAAUGUAUUGGUCAAAAAUUUACUUUCAUGAUUCUUGUCACCGUUCACCGACACGAAAUCUCCAGGAUGUUACGACGAAUUACUACUUCAAAAGAUUGACUUCAUAAUUAUUGCCACUGUUUAUCCUAAGAAAAUUUCCUGGAAGUGGCAAGGAAAUGCUGCUUCUUCGGUAUGUUGAAUGUUGUGGCGAUGGACAGCCACAUAUAAGUUUUUCUCGAUAACAGAAACCUGAAAUGAUUGGAAACGUAGCAAAAGUUGGAUUUAACACACCAACGACGAUGAAUAAAAUAAUAUUCAAAACUCCUUUUUCAAUUUUUAUUUUAUUUUAAAUUUACAACCACUGUUUAAAAAAGUUUAAUAAAAACCACGUAUCAGCUAAAAAUAAAUUGAAACAGUAAACAAAAGUUUUUGAAAUUUGUGAGUAAUUGAAUGAAAAGCGAUAAUUUUUCUUUUUUUUAAUAAUCCGAUGCGUAUUUAUUAGGAUGCUUAUAAAAUUUGCUUCCAAUUGACACGACAUUACAUCUUGCAUGUAACGAUCAAAGAUAGGUGGUAUAUUAUUCAUAAUAAAUUAAUUGAUUUACUAAAAAUAAUAUCACCUUUGGCCAUGACCAACCACAGCUGAUCAAUUCUCUUGAUCAGCCUUGUUUGGAGGGUAUAAAAUGUCUGAUUAACGUCCGUCAAAAUCUACCCAAACAUUGCGGCGGUGGCGACAAGCAGCUGUCCGCAUUUGGCUAUUGACGGCAGAAUAUCUUAGCUAAUAUUUUUUAAUUUAUAAAAUCAGAUUGAUUUAAGUUCAAGUGAUUCUGGAAUGAAAUUAAAUUAUUAUAACGAAAAGCAAAAGAGUAGUGAGGACUGAGGAUGUGCUAUAUACUUGGGUCUUAUAAAAAAUUAUCAUGCCACUUAAUGAAUAGCACUCAUAUAUUAUAUUUUCUAGAUUAAAUUUGAGAUUAAAUUUUGAGGGAGAAAUGAGAUUUUACAUCCAAAGUUUGAGAAAAUGGUCAUGUUGACCUUCAAAUUUUUCAACAAGGGAUACCAAAAU
rnacentral:lncRNA from 1 species